GUUAAAUGCAGAACUGAUUAAAUCAAGUGAGACAUGUGCAGUGUAUCAUGCAGUUCAAACCCUGGAUAAUGGGGACCCCCUCUUCUUCAAGUAGCCAUCUAGCCCUUAUUCUUCCCCCAUCACUGAAGCAGCUCUAUCUGUGCAGCAUGCAUACACAGUAAACUACUAGGAAUGGAUGUGCUUUGUGAAGUAUGUAUCAACUUCUCAGAAAAAAUCUUCUCUUAAUGUGGUUGUUGUCAGAUUUGCAGAUAUAAGAAUGUCUAGUUUUAGCUAAGUCAUGUACAUACACGGUGAGCAUUGCCUCCUCUGCAGCAGUGGUGGUUUCAUCCAUAUGCAUAGAAAAGGAGUCCAUCUUUAAUUUCUUUUGCUAAUCUAGCUUGCACUGUGUUGUUGGACCGUGGCAUAGUUUUUUUUACUCAACAUCACAUCACAGUCCUCUCACUCUAGUCAACAAUGCAUACUUCUGAUCUCAAGCCUGCAUGAGGUGUGCACAUUCCACACAACCCACAGGACCCUAAGGAUCUGUUGGCAUCGUCCUGAUGCCAGACACCACAGGACACCCCCAGAGGUCCUGUGUCCAUAGGCCAACACGUCAGAUCUGUUUUGGCAGCAUGAGGGGGACCUACAUAAAAUGAGGCAGGUGGUUUUAAUGUUGUGGCUGAUCAGUGUACCUUGACUGAGAUUCUUCACAGAUGAGUAUUUUAAUGAACACACUCAAAAUGGUGUGGGAAUAUGAAAGGAUGGUCAGAAAAUGUUUAGAUUAGGGGAACUGCCUUUUCUUGAGAUGCCAACAACACUGACAACACAAUCCUUGUCCAACAAUACAAUUAAUGAAUUUAGUCUUUGCUGCAAGAUUCACAGUAUUUGUUUGACGUGGCUUUCUUGCUGAACCACAGCACAACCUUUACAAUAACUUAAAAUGCUCCUGUUAUUACUGCAUGGGUCGUCAUAUUUUCCAAAUCACAGCAGAUUGAAAUUUGUUUCAUUCUACAUUGCUGAACUUCUAUUCAGUCCAUCAAACUCAACUUUAUUAAACUUCUACUUCUGGUUCUAACAUUAUUAUGUAGCAACCAAACGUAAUAAUCUGUACACCAGACACAGACAGAGAGGUUACAUUACAUUUUAAUGAACACAUUGUAACAUUGUGAUUUUUUUCCCUUACAUCUCAUAGCAGUGAAAGUUUGACAGAAAAAGAAUAAGGCAAAAUAGAAAGAAGAAGAAGUUUCACUACUGC